rnacentral:tRNA from 1 species
GGAGGGGUGUCCGAGCGGUUUAAGGAGCUAGUCUUGAAAACUAGUGACUCUUUUAGAGCCGUGGGUUCGAAUCCCACCCCCUCCGCCA